AAAUAGUCUCCAUAAUCUAAUCUCCAAAAUGCACUAAACCAGGAGAAGAUCCGCCUGGAAUGGAAGAAUAUUAAGGAGAACAAAUCCUCAUCUCUCCAAAGACCCUUCAUCCUUCAUUUCACAAUAGUCUUUAUUGGUCUGCUGGAGUUUGCUGGAGGUCCACUCCAGACCCUGUUUGCCUGGGUAUCACUGGCAGAGGCUGCAGAGCAGCAAAGAUUGCUGCCUGCUCCUUCCUCUGGAAGCUUCAUCCCAAAGGGGCACCUGCCUGAUGCCAGCCAGAGCUCUCCUGUAUGAGAGAUGCCCUGCCCAGUGAGGAGGAAUCUAGAGAAGCAGUCUGGCCACAGCUUUGCUGCAAUGCGCACUUCUCCUUGCUGCCGCCAUGUGAAGAAGAACGUGUUUGCUUCCCCUUCUGCCAUGAUUGUAAGUUUCCUGAGGUCUCCUCAACCAUGCUGAACUGUGAGUCAAUUAAGCCUCUUUCAAUUAUAAAUUACCCAGUCUCAGUUAUGUCUUUAUUAGCAGCAUGAGAACGGACUAAUACAAUACCCAUACAACGAAUCUGCACAUGGGACCCCUGAAUGUAAAAUUAAAGUUUAAACUAUUAAAAGAAGAAAAGACAUUG